UACGUAGGGGGCCGAGCGUUGUCCGGAGUUACUGGGCGUAAAGGGCGCGCAGGCGGUUCUCCGCAUCUCUGGUGAAAGCCCCGAGCUUAACUCGGGAGGGUCCAGGGAGAUGGGGGGGACUUGAGGCAGGGCGAGGGCGGUGGAAUUCCGGGUGUAGUGGUGAAGUGCGUAGAGCUCCGGAGGAACACCAGUGGCGAAGGCGGCCGCCUGGACCUGACC
rnacentral:rRNA from 1 species